CGGAAUUGGGCAGGCCCGCUGGAGGGGUUGCGAAACCCGAGGCGCCUCCAAGCAUCCCAGGGUUUUAGUGGAAGGCGCUGGAAUCCUCAGUGAGACUUUUGCAUAGACACGUCCCUACGCGUUCAGCAGCUUCAACCAACCUCAAGUGGCUCCGUCAAGUUUCUACCAAACUUCAUGAAGAGGUGCCAUUGGUACCCAUACUCACCCCAUGGACGAUCAGCAAUAUGCAAGCCAAGACCAAUGCAGUUUUAGAGUCGGUGACUCCUGGGACAUCAUGCUGGAGAAGACUUCAGUCUUCCUCUGUAUUCAGGAAAACUAAGCCAUCGUGACUAUAGGGUGCUUGUGGAAGCCAGAGGACCCCACUGAUGUCACUUCCCAGGAGCUGACCACCUUGUUUUCUGACAGUUUCUCGUUACUUGGGGCUCACUGAGUAGGCAAGUCUGCCUCUCUCCUCUCCCUCCCGCCACCACCCAGUAGUGAGAUCACAAGCACAUUCCCUCAUACCCUGCCUCUUUAUGUGGGAGCUGGGGACUGAACUCAAGUUUUUCUUAUUCUUGUUGGGCAAACACAUUACCAACCAAACUGUAUCCCCUCAGCCCCUAUUGUGAUACUUCUUAUGGCAUAUUAAUGUAGUAACCAGUGGGUUUCACUGUAGAAUUAUAUAUAUAUAAUAUUGGAAAUAUAUAAAAGCAUGAUAUAUAAGUAUAUAAUAUAUUAUAUAUAAUAUUCUAUAUAAAAUAUAUACAAAUAUAUUAAUAUACUGUAAUUAUAUAUCCUUAUUGUUCACAUAUAUAAAAUAUAACAUCUAUUUUAUCUUAUAUUUAUAGUAUAUAAUAUAUAUUUAUAUCAUAUUUUAUAUUAAUUGUAAAUAUACCAUAUAUUUAGAUAUAAUAUUAAUUAUAAUUUUAAUAUUGUGUAUAAAUAUUUUUAUAAAAUAUGUAUUAUAUGUUGUGUAUUAUAUAAAAUAUUAAGUAUAUAUUAUAUCAGUUAUGAAUAUGUAUAUGUAUAUGUAUAUGUAUAUGUAUAUGUAUAUGUAUUGUUCACACUGACUCUCACCUUCACCCUUUCCCAACCACCAUUCCCUUUCCUUUUCUUCCUCCCCUCCCUGUCACUAAUAAUCCUCUUUCUCCUGUUAGAUCAUGUUUUGUUUUGUUUUUUUGUCUUCUCUAAAGUUUCCACAUCUUAUAGCUGCUACCGAACACCAGCAUUAAUCUCUCUCUGCUUCUUGAUUUUGGAUGCCGUGUGACCCUUGUUGCCAUGCCUUCCUGCCUCAAUGGAUUGGAUUCACUAUGAAUCAAAAUAAACUACUUCCUUUGGUGGAUUUUGCCAGGCUUUUUUUCUUUUUUUCACAGCAAUGAGAAAAGUAACUAAGGGGUUCUGUAGAGACUGAUGCACUAAUGGAGGACCAUGCAUGGAGAGGACCUAAACGCCCUGCUCAGAUGUUGCCUGCUCAGUCUCCAUGUGGAUCUCUGAGUGAGAGGAUCAGGGGCUGCCUCUAUCAUGAACUCAGUUGACUGCUCUCUGAUCACUCGCCCCUGAUGAUGCAGCCUUGCCAGGCCCUAGAGGAAGAGGAUCCAAGCAAUCCUGAUGAGACUUAACAAGCUAUGGGCAGAUGGCAAUAGUAGAGAAAUCCCCCUUUCAGUGGACUAGGGGAAGGGGAUGAGGGGAAGAAGGAAGGAAGCCAGCCAAUGCUGUGCAAUGGAGAGAAUUGGGUGAGACAUCCAUGUCUGAAGGGAAGGAGAAGGAAGUGAGUAGGAGGAGUCGGAGAGAAGAGUUCAGCAGGAGAGAACCUGGAACCAUGAGAAGGGAUGAAAGGACAGAGGAGCAGCAUGCUGAGAGAGAAGCUGGAUAGACUGGCUAGUACACUCAGCAUAAACUGGACAUCAAACCUGGGCUGUCAGAUUAUCUAACAGAGGCUUUUGCUUAAAGGCUCGGAAAACACAGCUUAUGCUCAAGUUAAACAUCUCUAGGCACUUGGAUGAUGAAAAACCUGAAGUGUUCGGAAUCCGAAAGCAUGCUCACCACUGUCCCGGCCAGGGGGUUGUAGAACCGCUCCAGCAGCUGGACCACUGUGCUCUUUCCGCAGCCACUGCUGCCCACCAGGGCAAGCGUCUGGCCCUUCUUCACCUCCAGGCUCAGCCCCUGAAGCACUGGGAUGUUGGGUCGGGUAGGGUAGUUGAACACGACUCCGUUAAAUGUCACAUUUCCUUCUAACUGAUUCUAGAGUGAGAACAGUGACACUUAGUCCGACUGCAGCAGUACUGAAAACACAGGGAAUAGCUGUGACUCAUAGUGCCAGGGGUUAGAAGGGAGCUUCUGUCGUAGUUAACUUUGUUUUAUAAGAAUAAUGAAUGUUCAUAUAAAGCAUUAACAUUUAUUCAAACCAACUCAUCUAAAUCUUAUCAACAACAUAUAAUUUUUUAAUUAAAUUUCCUCUCAUGUCUUGUCAUGGAGAAGUUAGGGAUAGAUCACCCAGUGAAAACAUGAAACUCACAGGCUUUAGGCCUUCUGUGCUGUAGCUGUCAAUCUCAGGGACUUUCUUGAUGAUAUUGAGGAUGUGUGAUGCUGACACUUUGGCUUUUGCAUAGUCAGGAGCGAAUGAACUGACCUGCCCUACUGCCAUGGCACCAAAGACAACAGCUGAGAAUACUCUGGAAAAUAAAAGACAAGUAUGUGCCGACUGGGGUAGCUGGUAGCUGCGACGUUAACAAUGUGGUGCGUCUGUAAUUAAAGGAAAAUUGCAUGUAUAAAGCAGAAAGAUAAAACGAGUCACUUUCCCUCACGUUUUCACAUUAGCGUGGCAGAUGCUGCGAAAUGCCCCCUUUUCACCUCUCCUGUGAUCCUUCUUACAAAAUGACCUUCGUUUAAGUUUCUUAGAAGUACAAAUUUGUUUUUCACCUUUUAAAGCUGCAGUGGCCUUGUGACAUGGCCUCCUGGACAGGAUGUGGUGGAAGUCAUUGUUCCCAGUUCCAAGCCUAUGACUCAGCAUAUGUUUUGUUCCCUUAUAUUUUUUCAUUCUGGCCAAUGAAUCUGCAGCUAGCUCACUGCAGACAACAGUGACCACGGCCGAGAUCUGUCUACUGUGCCCAACCCAGAUAAGGAGAACUGACCCAGAGACUUCAAGCAGAACAAAUGUUUAGAGUUCCAUGUCACUGAAGUUUAGUUGCUGAUCAUUACAUAGCAUAACUGUGGCAAUCAGUAAUGCACAUGUACAUACAUCAGUGUUGCUGAUAUCAAUUCUUAGAAAUCACGUGACACAAUAAAGAAAACUUAUUUUUUUUUUUUAGAUACAUGUCUGGCUAUGAUGCCACUUUCAAGAAGCCACUGCAUUCUUAAACUUAAAUGAGACUCAUUAAGUGUCAGCAGCUUCAAAAAUCUUGGAGUAAAAGGGUGAUGAAAUCAAUGCCCCGGGUCCAGGGAUGUCUGACUUUGCUCUUUGGGCAUAAUCACACAAACACCCUGUGAAACAUUAUGUUAGAAGGUGAAUAUUUUUAAUCCUGAAUUAACUACAAUGCAAGAAUAAAUCAAUCUCAAAUAGGACAGAAAUGGUGCCCUGGCACAUUAUACAGCAAGGCUUCUCUGGUUUGGGUUGCAAUGCCAACUGUCACAGCGCUAACUAUACUGAACUGUAAGAGAGAAGUCUUGCCUGGCCUGUCAUCACUUGGAAGCUCAGAAUGUUCACACAGAACCUUGACUACCAAGCUGCAUAUUUGGUGAUGUUCAUAGUGUGAUUUCUUUCAGGUUUGUCUUCCUGUGACCAAAGUAUAAUUUUCAGUGUUUGCAGAAAUAUAGAAGGAAAGUCCUAAUCUAGAGCUUCUAUUGUCAUUUAAAAAUUUCUUCAGCUUCUGAGUAACAAGGAGUUAGUCAGAUCCCUGACAGGCAAACAAAUAUGAAAAGGGGCCACUAAUAAUAAGAACCCUGUAAACUUCUGGCUUUUUCCUUACCCUCCUUCCCAAGACAAAAGUCUGGCAGUCUUUCUCUCCUGUCAGUAGAGUCCCCUUUCACUGAGCAGUGCAAGCUGGUCAGUUAUGCUCAAGGCUGGUCCUGACAUGUUUUUGCAAAGCUGUGAGCUUCAGCAUUCCUUUGCUGAAGCUGACUAAUAGGAAAUGACAGAAGAGGAACUCAUUCGAGGCUACCAAUAACUCUAAAUAACAACAAACCCAGCCCUGUAGGAGAAAGAGGGAUUUCAGUUUCUGAGUAAUCUUCCCACCUUGUGGGGUCUGUGUGUGUAUGUGUGUUUGUGUGUGUGUUUAUGUGUAUAUGUGCUUCUUUACUUUUUAUAUCUCAGGUUUGGUAGGAGUUGGCACAUAAUCCCACCUCGUAGCUACCCUGACAGGAGCUCUUCAAAGGAGCCACUCGAUUCCUUGCUGAACAUAAGACCAUUUCCAAGGGAGGGCCUUCUGGAUACCUCUCAACUUAACCUAUCUGUCUCCCACAGAUUUGGAAGGUCAGACCUGUGUGAAUCAAAACAGGGUAGAAAAGUGUGUGAUGAAAUGUGGAGUGUGAGUGGUACCACAUGGACAGUCAGAGGCAAAAUGUCACUUUCCUAAUUACCAAAUGCCCAAUAUGACACCCCACCAUACAAUUUCUCAUCCUAGAUUUACUUUUAGGGUUAAAUUGUAAAUAGGAGCACAGUACUUACAACAGAACAUUCUCGAAAGUCAUGAGUUCACGCGCCACCAGGUAGGCACCGAACCGGAAACAAGCAGCAUAGGAAAAGUACAUCAUGGCCUGCGUGAAGGAGAAGGUGAUCCCGAAGAUGUGCGCUUUCUUCAGAGCAUUUCUGGAACAAAAGCAACUCACGUUCACUCCAUCUCAUUUCUCAGUCAGUUCAGUUCAAUUCAAUUGAUCCCGGUCUGCUUAGCUGUGUGAACUUGGAAAACUGCCUCAUCUCUGAGACUCGGUGCUGUCUUCAUCUUUAGGAGAUUAUUACAGCUCAGUGGGCUAGAGCACUGGAGCCUGGAGCCCUGAGAAGAGCCUGCUUUACAUUAACAAAGGAAUGGUCCUUCCCUUUCCCCUACUUUGAGACAUACAACACUGGGGUCCAGAAGAAUGGGACACCUCCCAACACAUCUACCAACACUCAAGCUGUGGGUGACAGGGUGCAGGCCUAUCUUUGCAUGUGGGCCUCCAGAUGAGUGGCAGAGUCUCAGCGCAGUGGAGGGAAUUCAGGGAAAUGUGCUAUGGGAAGAAAAAGCACUUAACUGUCUGGAGCCAGGGAAGGCUUCACAAAGGAUUAACAUUCCAGGAAUUUCUGACCAUCAAAGAUCUUGGGACUGGAGGUGUGGGCAGGAACAGGGUGGGGAUAGGCAGCUCUUUGACCAUCCUACUCUGGUUUAAACCCACCAACUUUGUUCAUGUCUUUGCUACCUGAGAUUUCAAAUGGAAAUGUUUCCAGAAAAAAAGAGGGCCUGCCAUGACUAUGACAAAAGUGGUUGGAAAUAAUAAGGCCCAGUUCUUGCCUUGUCCUAGAGGAGAAGCUGAGACUCCAGGGUUGGUCUUACUCACAUUUCUGGUCACUUUUAGAGCCGUAUAUAUACUGCUGGGGUAAAGGGAGAAGAGAAGGUCUCCCCAGGAAAGAAAGGAACAGAAAAUAUCCCCAGAAGACACCUCAGUGUCCUACAACACCUCUGACUUCGUGUUCCAUAGAAAACCUUCACCCCAAAUACACACUAUUCAGUGGGGUCAUUAUCCCAACUGGACACCAGAAGAUUGACAAUUGUCCUCUUUUCUCCCUCCCAUGUCACCAGCCUUUACUGGUUCACAGUUGCCCCUGACUAGACUCAGGUCUCUUUAGUUCUGUCUUGAUAAUCUCAGGUGUUGGUUCUAGCACUUUCUUCACCUGCCUUCUCACAAAAGCAAUCCUGAAAACUGCAGUCCUGCUUGGAAAUCUCCUCAGAGCCCUGGCUAGUCUUCAGGGCUCCUUACCUGUAUGGUAUCUGCAGGCUUUGUGCAUACAUAUUUUCAAACUUCUGCUCCCGGGUCAGAGAGACAACAGUACGGAAAUUUUCUAUUGCUUCAGUAGCAAUCUGUAAAAGACCACCCAUUAUCAAGCCCAAAGUCAAACAUAGUAAACUAACUUGAAUUCUAUAAUUAGUAGCAUUAAUCUAUUAUAAAUUUAUUGUUCAUGUAUCAUUUAGUCUUGUUGCUAUCUAUUUUCUGUAUGAAAAAAUGGUGACUUAUGAAACUGAAUUUUAUUUUUAUUUUUUUAAAGAUUUAUUUAUUUGUGUAUAUAAGCACUCUAUUUGCAUGUACGCCUUCAUGACAGAAGAGAGCAUCAGGUCCCACUGCAGAUAUUUGUGAGCCACCAUGUUGUUGCUGGGAAUUGAACUCAGGACUUCUGGACAAGCAGCCCGUGCUUUUAACCAUUGAACCAUCUCUCUAGCCCAUGAAACUGAUUUUUAGAUCCUUAAGAGAGAACCAAUAAUUUCCUCUUGCCCUCUAUAGAGAAACAGAAGCUAGGACACAAAACCAUGAGGCACUUGUCUACAGCCACACAGCAUUUUAUAUCUUUCAAAGGAAUCUUGUCUUCUGUGAAGGUGAUGCUUAAGUGACAUUUAUUGUUACGAUUUUGAAAAUGUGAUACUUUAUACCUUUUUCUCUGUGUAACUGUCACUCAUGAUAACUCAAUACAGUUUGAAAGUUGGUCAAAGAAUAAUGAAGAUCAUCAAUAGUUACACAGUACCGUAUCUUUUAUUUUUUAUAGUAGUGCAUUUUAUAAAGUAGCUUACAUAUGUUUUUCUAAACACACACAUCUUUCACAAAACAGAGACUGAAUUCUAUAUAUUGUCUAACCAAUUUCAACAGUAUCUUUCAAGCUCAUUUAGUACGCCUUAAUAAUGGUGUUUUAGUGGCUAUUUAAUAUUGUAGUCAGGCUGGCAUUACUAACAAUUACCUCAAUUCUUUUAUUAAAAAUAACAUUGUAAUAAACACAUUAUUUAUGUAACAACUACAUAAAUAAAGGUAAUAAACUUUCUCACAGUGAAAGAUUUUCUUAGAAAAGAUUCUUAAUAGUGAAACUAAGAGGUUAAGGACUGUAAAUUGCCUUUUAAUGAAUACAUUGGCUGUGUUUUGUUUUUUUUUGUUUGUUUGUUUUGUUUUCUAAGAUAAGAGUUACUCUGGGUAGCCCUGGUUGUCCUAACAUUCACUCUGUAGACCAGGAUGGCCUUGAACGUAAGGUUGAACUGCCUCUGCCUCCUAAGGGAAUGGCCAUCACCACUUGGUGAAUGAAUACAUUAUCCUUUAAUGACCAUGUUAUAUCAACUUUUUUUCAAGAGAGUUUCUAAUACUCGAUUAUGUUCUAAAUGCAUUUACUGCCAUCAAGGCUUUUAGGACAAUAGAGCCAUCACCACUUGUUGCAUUCUUUAUAAAGGGAUGUACAGUGUUGGGAUCCAUAAGCAGACAUCUGUACGGCCAGCCCCAAGGGACCUGACAAACUGGCUAUCAGGCAUCUGUGAGGCCACCUAUGGGCCACCUGGAACCACCUGCGCAUGCUCUGGGUCACCUUAUUAGAGAACUCGAAGCUCCUCCUCUCUCUCUUUCUCUCCUGCCCUAACCAGAGAUGGUCUCUGUGACCCCUUCCCAGGUCUCUUUCCCUUUCCUCCUCCUUUCCUUUCCCCUUCCCUUAAUAAACCUCCCACGCGGAA